UUCUGGCCUGCCACAACCCGCUUAGGGCAGGUUUGGGCUAUAAUUUAUUAUGCCUAAGUUAUAUCCUGACUUUAUAGCUGAGUCAGGUUUAACUAGAACUCGAUGUGGGCUGGUCCGAACCCGUUUAGGUAGCUUGACACCUCUUGUGCAUGCAUAGUUUUUAGUUUUUAUGAUGACGUUCACAAGUCAACGUUAGAGCAACCCAGAAAGAGAUUUUGAGAAUUUUAUUUAUUGGAUUAUAUACAAGGUUAAGGAAUGGAUUUCGAGUCCAUCUAUAUCUAUAUUAUAAAUAAAAUCAAAUUAUGGUAUAAAUAUUACUAUGAUGUAGUUUC
rnacentral:lncRNA from 1 species